AGUGAACGCUGGCGGCAGGCCUAACACAUGCAAGUCGAACGCCCCGCAAGGGGAGUGGCAGACGGGUGAGUAACGCGUGGGAAUAUUCCCUUUGGUUCAGGAUAGCCCCGGGAAACUGGGAUUAAUACUGGAUAAGAUCUACGGAUGAAAGAUUUAUCGCCGAAGGAUUAGCCCGCGUAAGAUUAGUUAGUUGGUGAGGUAACGGCUCACCAAGACAAUGAUCUUUAGCUGGUCUGAGAGGAUGAGCAGCCACACUGGAACUGAGACACGGUCCAGACUCCUACGGGAGGGAGCAGUGAGGAAUAUUGGACAAUGGGCGCAAGCCUGAUCCAGCCAUGCCGCGUGAGUGAUGAAGGCCCUAGGGUUGUAAAACUCUUUUAGUGGGGAAAAUAAUGAUGGUACCCACAGAAAAAGCUCCGGCUAACUUCGUGCCAGCAGCCGCGGUAA
rnacentral:rRNA from 1 species